UCCCCUCGCUCUCCUCUCCUCACAGCGCCUCCUCCUCUCCAAUCCCAAACCCUAACCCUUCAUCGACGGCGCCAUCACCCGCGGCUUCUCCCCUUCAUCGACGGCGCCAUCGCCCGCGGCCUCUCCCCUUCAUCGACGGCGCCAUCGCCCGCGGCCUCUCCCCUUCAUCGACGGUGCCAUCUCGUCCGAGUACGAGCUGGAGGAGCACGUGUACGUCGGGGACGCAGCAAGGCCAGCACGCCAUCGGUCCCGUCUUCCCUGGUUCCUCGCCGAGCGCCACGAAGAGGAAGAGAGAAUGGUGAAGGAGAAGGGGAAUGAGAAGGGAAAGGGUGCUGGUAAGGAGAAUGGGAAGCCGAAGGGUGCUGGUAAGGAGAAUGGGAAGGCAAAGGCAAAGGAAAAGAGCUUGAAUUACCUAAUUAGGCAAGAUUCGGCGCUGCCUCCUCUAGUUCCGAGGAAGAAGAGCAAACCUAAGGUGCAGAUUAAGAAGGCGAAAGACUUUCCCAAUGCCCCAAUGGGAGAGUUAAUUUGUAGAUGACUACAGGAGUUCGUUAAAACCGGUUAUGGUGGAGGCAUUAGUUUGUGGUGCAAGUUAUAUCAAGGGUGCUCACGUUGACUUGAAUCUGGUGCCGAGGGAUGAGAAUGAAGAGGAUGAUGUUGAAACCACCAAGUUACCCAUCGUGGAGGAGAUCAACGAUUGACACUCAUCAUGUGGAUGUUGAUCUUGAUCUUGCUAUUUUGGAGACGAAUGUCAAAGUGAUCUUUCUCAUGGGAAGGCUACUUUUGCAUUUGGGUUAUGUUCGAACUUGUAAGUCAUGAACUGUGAAAUGUCACAACUAGCUUGGAGAUGAACCUCUCAUUUGUGUUAUGUUCAACUUGCCAAUUGACAUGGACUUGAAAUUGUCAUUGCAAGUUUGUAAUCGUGUCGUUCAAUGAUGAUAAGACAUUAUGUUUGUGGAUGUGGUAUUUGUGUUGCUUAACCUGAUUUGUGCU